rnacentral:tRNA from 1 species
GCCCAGCUGGCUCAGUCAGUAGAGCAUGAGACUCUUGGUCUCAGUGUUGUGAGUUCAAGUCCCACACGGGGCC